rnacentral:rRNA from 1 species
UACGAAGGGGGCUAGCGUUGCUCGGAAUCACUGGGCGUAAGCGCACGUAGGCGGCUUCUAAGUCAGGGGUGAAAUCCUGGAGCUCAACUCCAGAACUGCCUUUGAUACUGGAGAGCUUGAGUCCGGGAGAGGUGAGUGGAACUCCGAGUGUAGAGGUGAAAUUCGUAGAUAUUACGGAAGAACACCAGUGGCGAAGGCGGCUCACUGGCCCGGUACUGACGCUGAUGUGCGAAAGCGUGGGGA